CCUACGGGAGGCUGCAGUGAGGAAUAUUGGUCAAUGGGCGAGAGCCUGAACCAGCCAAGUCGCGUGAAGGAUGACGGCCCUACGGGUUGUAAACUUCUUUUGUCAGGGAGCAAUUGAGUCCACGUGUGGUCUUAGCGAGAGUACCUGAAGAAAAAGCAUCGGCUAACUCCGUGCCAGCAGCCGCGGUAAUACGGAGUAUCCGAGCGUUAUCCGGAUUUAUUGGGUUUAAAGGGAGCGUAGAUGGGUUGUUAAGUCAGUGGUGAAAGUUUGCGGCUCAACCGUAAAAUUGCAAUUGUUACUGGCAGUAUUGAGUACAGUUGAGGUAGGCGGAAUUCGUGGUGUAGCGGUGAAAUGCUUAGAUAUCACGAAGAACUCCGAUUGCGAAGGCAGCUUACUAAACUGCCACUGACAUUGAUGCUCGAAAGUGUGGGUAUCAAACAGGAUUAGAUACCCCAGUAGUC
rnacentral:rRNA from 1 species